UACGUAGGGUGCAAGCGUUAAUCGGAAUUACUGGGCGUAAAGGGCGCGUAGGCGGUUGGAUAAGUCAGCUGUGAAAACCACGGGCUUAACUCGUGGCCUGCAGUUGAGACUGUCUGGCUAGAGUCCGGAAGAGGAGAGUGGAAUUCCUGGUGUAGCGGUGAAAUGCGCAGAUAUCAGGAAGAACACCUAUGGCGAAGGCAGCUCUCUGGGACGGUACUGACGCUGAGACGCGAAAGCGUGGGGAGCGAACAGG
rnacentral:rRNA from 1 species